AAAUUGAAGAGUUUGAUCAUGGCUCAGAUUGAACGCUGGCGGCAGGCCUAACACAUGCAAGUCGAGCGGAAACGAGUUAUCUGAACCUUCGGGGAACGAUAACGGCGUCGAGCGGCGGACGGGUGAGUAAUGCCUAGGAAAUUGCCCUGGUGUGGGGGAUAACCAUUGGAAACGAUGGCUAAUACCGCAUAAUGCCUACGGGCCAAAGAGGGGGACCUUCGGGCCUCUCGCGUCAGGAUAUGCCUAGGUGGGAUUAGCUAGUUGGUGAGGUAAUGGCUCACCAAGGCGACGAUCCCUAGCUGGUCUGAGAGGAUGAUCAGCCACACUGGAACUGAGACACGGUCCAGACUCCUACGGGAGGCAGCAGUGGGGAAUAUUGCACAAUGGGCGCAAGCCUGAUGCAGCCAUGCCGCGUGUGUGAAGAAGGCCUUCGGGUUGUAAAGCACUUUCAGUCGUGAGGAAGGUAGUGUAGUUAAUAGCUGCAUUAUUUGACGUUAGCGACAGAAGAAGCACCGGCUAACUCCGUGCCAGCAGCCGCGGUAAUACGGAGGGUGCGAGCGUUAAUCGGAAUUACUGGGCGUAAAGCGCAUGCAGGUGGUUUGUUAAGUCAGAUGUGAAAGCCCGGGGCUCAACCUCGGAAUAGCAUUUGAAACUGGCAGACUAGAGUACUGUAGAGGGGGUAGAAUUUCAGGUGUAGCGGUGAAAUGCGUAGAGAUCUGAAGGAAUACCGGUGGCGAAGGCGGCCCCCUGGACAGAUACUGACACUCAGAUGCGAAAGCGUGGGGAGCAAACAGGAUUAGAUACCCUGGUAGUCCACGCCGUAAACGAUGUCUACUUGGAGGUUGUGGCCUUGAGCCGUGGCUUUCGGAGCUAACGCGUUAAGUAGACCGCCUGGGGAGUACGGUCGCAAGAUUAAAACUCAAAUGAAUUGACGGGGGCCCGCACAAGCGGUGGAGCAUGUGGUUUAAUUCGAUGCAACGCGAAGAACCUUACCUACUCUUGACAUCCAGAGAACUUUCCAGAGAUGGAUUGGUGCCUUCGGGAACUCUGAGACAGGUGCUGCAUGGCUGUCGUCAGCUCGUGUUGUGAAAUGUUGGGUUAAGUCCCGCAACGAGCGCAACCCUUAUCCUUGUUUGCCAGCGAGUAAUGUCGGGAACUCCAGGGAGACUGCCGGUGAUAAACCGGAGGAAGGUGGGGACGACGUCAAGUCAUCAUGGCCCUUACGAGUAGGGCUACACACGUGCUACAAUGGCGCAUACAGAGGGCAGCAAGCUAGCGAUAGUGAGCGAAUCCCAAAAAGUGCGUCGUAGUCCGGAUUGGAGUCUGCAACUCGACUCCAUGAAGUCGGAAUCGCUAGUAAUCGUGGAUCAGAAUGCCACGGUGAAUACGUUCCCGGGCCUUGUACACACCGCCCGUCACACCAUGGGAGUGGGCUGCAAAAGAAGUAGGUAGUUUAACCUUCGGGAGGACGCUUACCACUUUGUGGUUCAUGACUGGGGUGAAGUCGUAACAAGGUAGCGCUAGGGGAACCUGGCGCUGGAUCACCUCCUUAAACGAUGAU
rnacentral:rRNA from 1 species